rnacentral:rRNA from 1 species
UACGUAGGGGGCAAGCGUUGUCCGGAUUUAUUGGGCGUAAAGAGCGUGUAGGCGGCCAGACAGGUCCGUUGUGAAAACUGGAGGCUCAACCUCCAGACGUCGAUGGAAACCGUCUGGCUAGAGUCCGGAAGAGGAGAGUGGAAUUCCUGGUGUAGCGGUGAAAUGCGCAGAUAUCAGGAAGAACACCCGUGGCGAAAGCGGCUCUCUGGGACGGUACUGACGCUGAGACGCGAAAGCUAGGGGAGCGAACAGG